rnacentral:lncRNA from 1 species
CAGACCCUGUAUCCUGGCAGAUGAAGGAUUGCCAGAGACAAGCACUGAACAGCAGCAGAAAGCCGGUGACUAUUAACACACACUUCUUGACUUAUAUAUGCAACUGUCAGAUGGGACGAUUCAUCCACUUUGUUCAGAGCCAAAAUAUCCAGCUAUGGAGAGUGCGCCUGGGAAGCCUCUACAUUGGUGUGCAUUUCAAUAAUCUCAAAAACAUCUGCAGUACCCUUCUCCACAGACUCUUCUGACGCAGUUUGAAAAUGUUAUAUAGGUGGGAAAUUUCCGUAGCAGAAUGAAGUAUAAAUACUUAUAAACUCACAAUGAGGACGUGAGGCAAAGCGGUGAGAUUGAAGACUUACUCUGAAGGUGAGUGAAUUCAGGACAUUAUUCAAACGUUCACAUUUCUCCUCAUUUUCUCCUGCUUCUAGAUUCAAUCCUACAGUUGGCACUAAAACUUUGGUCCCCUGGAGCAAUUCUGUCAUCUUGACCUGAAUAUGGUUCUUCUAUAUACAUUCUGAAGAAUGGCAGUGUGUGACAGGCUUAUGUCGCUCAUGGGGCCUUUAGUUUAUGCAUUCCUGGCACAGCUCUUGCAGUAGCUCAAAACUCCUGGCAGGUGAGUGAGCCCCUGUGAGUGAGCAGAAGGAACCUCAAAUCACUUGUGCUGGUAAAUAUUGACCAAGCAAUUACUAUGUUUAUGAAGCCACGGCAGGGUGCUGGAGGUACAGCUAAGGACAAAGUAGACAUGGCUCUUCCCAUCUUGAAGCCAGCCAUCUGGUUUGGGGAGGAUUGUUGUUAAGUGGGGCAUCUUGUGAAUCAUUUCAAACUCAGUACUAUAUGUAUGAUACAAUGUAUCACAUGUUAUAUGAGAUGUAUCACCUGGAUUACUCAGAAAAUAAGACAGACACCUGACCUUGGCUGUGGGGGAAAGGUCAUGGAAAGUCAGUCUAAGAGAGGGAAGCUCAGAUGAUGGAUGAGUUAGAUAGGGACCUGUGUGUGUGUGUGUGUGUGUGUGUGUGUGUGUUCUCCUCGGCUGUAAAAAAAGGACUCUGCUAACAAGGCCUUAUCCAAAAACAAACUUGAAGGAGAGGACAUAGGAAGGCAAGUCAUAAGGGCAGGACAUAUCCCUGAGCAAAGGUGGAUAAAAAGCUGGGGAGAGGGACUAUAAAGGGAAAGGGGUCAUUCAAGGUUGUGAAUCAAACAAAGCCUCCUGGAGAGGCUUGCAGAAGAUAGCUUGGGUUGCAUGGGAGAGGGCUGAGAGUGUUUGCUUCCCUGUAUCCACUUGUAACAGGUAAAGCCUCAAACAUUUUCUUCCUGUCCAGGCUAAGAUACAGAAUGCUUCCAUUGUUUCUGUAUUCCAUCAGAGAUCUAUGUAGGCUGCAGGAAGUUUAAGGGCAGUCCACUGCAUGCAGGAAGAUGACAAAAGGAUGCAAGGUUAUGCAGAAGAGCCAAUUGCUACAUAGCAGGUGAAUUCAUGUGGAAUUAAACUGUGCGUGUAAGGAGCUGAGCCAGGGACCUGACAUAGUACUUAAGUGUUCAAUCAAUAUUAGUUCCUGUCAUGGGUGUUUAUCACUAGGCAUCAACAGGCCUAGGACAGGCUUCACUUUGCCCAGUUCGCUCUGCCCACUCUAUCUUCAGGAAACCCUUCCCACCACUCACUGCCAAGUCUCCCGAGACAAACACACAUAUAAAUAGAGCGAUAUAUAUUUUUAUUUCUCAGAACUGUCACAUUUUGCUGAGCUCAUAACAGAAGUGAGCAAAUAGUGCUGUCGUCCUCUGUAAUAAAUCCUAUCACUCAGAGCAGCUUCAUCUCCCUGUCUUCCCAGGCUCCCAGGACUCAGAUAUGAAUACACAUGCUCUUCUGUCCUUAAAUUACAUCUGUACUAACCUGAUAUAGUCUCCAGGCCUCCCUUUUCUGGGCAACAUGGUAGAAUUCUUGGGCCAGAGGAAUCUCCGUCAACUGUUUAUCUUUCUGAGCAAUUAUUUGCUACUUGAGAAAAAAAAAAGAAGUUACUAGUUUAAAUAAAAAAUAAAAAUACAGAUUAAAAAAAUUGUACUAGUUAGUUUGUAUUGUCAACUUGACACAAUCUAGAGUUACCUGGGAAGAGGAAAUCUGAACUACUGAGGAAUUGUCCACAAGAGAUUGUCUUGACUGAUGAUUAAUGUGGGAGGAUUAAGCCCACUGUGGGCAGCACCAUUCCUAGGCAGGAGGAUCGGGCUGUAAAAGAAAUCUAGCUUAGUAUGAGCCAGUGAGUGAGACAGCAAGCAACACUCCUCCAUGGUUUUGGUUCAAUUCCCUGUCCUGACUCUCCUCAACAUAGGACUACGAACUGGAAGUACAGAUGAAAUAAAUCCUCUCUUCCCCUAAAUUGCUUUCGGUUGAGUGUUUUAUCAUAGCAACAGAAAAGCAAACUAGAAUAAGAAUGAUAUCAAAUACAUUAGUCUGAGGGAGAAAGAAGAAGAAGAAGAGGAAGAGGAAGAGGGAGGAAGAGGGAGGAAGAGGAAGAGAGAGAAAGAAGAAGAAGAAGAAGAAGAAGAAGAAGAAGAAGAAGAAGAAGAAGAAGAAGAAGAAGAAGAAGAAGAAGAAGAAGAAGAAGAAGAAGAAGAAGAAGAAGAAGAAGAACCAGGCACAUGAGGUAAGUCCAUAUUGUAGAACUUCUAGAUCAGGGGAAAUUAAUCUGUAGAGGCAGAAAACAGAUCUGUAAAGUGUUUGCAGCUAGGCCUAAGGCAGCUGUGAAGGAGGCAUAAGAAAACAGUGGUGAGAUGACAGCACUUAAGCCUCUAUUAUAGAGGCAGUUGCACUAUACAAUUGUUGAAAUUCAUAGACCUGUAGGCUUCUGAUAUGUAUAGUGGAUUAUAUAAAUUACAACUUAAUAAAGUGAUUUGGGGAGAGAGGGUUACAUACUCUGUUACCGUUGCUGGCCUCAAACCUGUAGUAACUCUCUUUAUCAUAUUCUCCCAAGUUCAGAAUCACAGGCGGACACCACCACACCUGGCAAUAAAGUGAUUUUUGAAAAUGAGCAA